rnacentral:rRNA from 1 species
UACGAAGGGGGCUAGCGUUGCUCGGAAUCACUGGGCGUAAAGCGCACGUAGGCGGGUCGUUAAGUCGGGGGUGAAAGCCCGGAGCUCAACUCCGGAACUGCCCUCGAUACUGGCGAUCUUGAGUUCGGGAGAGGUGAGUGGAACUGCGAGUGUAGAGGUGAAAUUCGUAGAUAUUCGCAAGAACACCAGUGGCGAAGGCGGCUCACUGGCCCGAUACUGACGCUGAGGUGCGAAAGCGUGGGGAGCAAAC